CCUACGGGCGGCAGCAGUGGGGAAUAUUGGACAAUGCGCGAAAGCCUGAUCCAGCCAUGCCGCGUGUGUGAAGAAGGCCUUCGGGUUGUAAAGCACUUUCAGUGGGGAAGAAAGCCUUGGGGCUAAUACCCUCGAGGAAGGACAUCACCCACAGAAGAAGCACCGGCUAACUCCGUGCCAGCAGCCGCGGUAAUACGGAGGGUGCGAGCGUUAAUCGGAAUUACUGGGCGUAAAGCGCGCGUAGGCGGUCUGAUAAGCCGGUUGUGAAAGCCCCGGGCUCAACCUGGGAACGGCAUCCGGAACUGUCAGGCUAGAGUGCAGGAGAGGAAGGUAGAAUUCCCGGUGUAGCGGUGAAAUGCGUAGAGAUCGGGAGGAAUACCAGUGGCGAAGGCGGCCUUCUGGACUGACACUGACGCUGAGGUGCGAAAGCGUGGGUAGCAAACAGGAUUAGAUACCCCGGUAGUC
rnacentral:rRNA from 1 species